rnacentral:rRNA from 1 species
UACGUAGGUGGCAAGCGUUAUCCGGAUUUAUUGGGCGUAAAGGGAACGCAGGCGGUCUUUUAAGUCUGAUGUGAAAGCCUUCAGCUUAACCGGAGUAGUGCAUUGGAAACUGGGAGACUUGAGUGCAGAAGAGGAGAGUGGAACUCCAUGUGUAGCGGUGAAAUGCGUAGAUAUAUGGAAGAACACCAGUGGCGAAAGCGGCUCUCUGGUCUGUAACUGACGCUGAGGUUCGAAAGCGUGGGUGGCAAACAGG